GAUGAACGCUGGCGGCGUGCCUAAUACAUGCAAGUCGAGCGAACAGACGAGGAGCUUGCUCCUUUGACGUUAGCGGCGGACGGGUGAGUAACACGUGGGUAACCUACCUAUAAGACUGGGAUAACUUCGGGAAACCGGAGCUAAUACCGGAUAAUAUUUCGAACCGCAUGGUUCGAUAGUGAAAGAUGGCUUUGCUAUCACUUAUAGAUGGACCUGCGCCGUAUUAGCUAGUUGGUAAGGUAACGGCUUACCAAGGCAACGAUACGUAGCCGACCUGAGAGGGUGAUCGGCCACACUGGAACUGAGACGCGGUCCAGACUCCGACGGGAGGCAGCAGUAGGGAAUCUUCCGCAAUGGGCGAAAGCCUGACGGAGCAACGCCGCGUGAGUGAUGAAGGGCUUCGGAUCGUAAAACGCUGUUAUUAGGGAAGAACAAACGUGUAAGUAACUGUGCACGUCUUGACGGUACCUAAUCAGAAAGCCACGGCUAACUACGU
rnacentral:rRNA from 1 species